UACAGAGGUCUCAAGCGUUGUUCGGAUUCAUUGGGCGUAGAGGGUGCGUAGGUGGCGCCGUAAGUCAGGUGUGAAAUUUCGGAGCUUAACUCCGAAACUGCAUUUGAUACUGCGGUGCUUGAGGACUGGAGAGGAGACUGGAAUUUACGGUGUAGCAGUGAAAUGCGUAGAGAUCGUAAGGAAGACCAGUGGCGAAGGCGGGUCUCUGGACAGUUCCUGACACUGAGGCACGAAGGCCAGGGGAGCAAACGGG
rnacentral:rRNA from 1 species